rnacentral:rRNA from 1 species
UGGGGAAUAUUGGACAAUGGGGGGAACCCUGAUCCAGCAAUACCGCGUGUGUGAAGAAGGCCUUCGGGUUGUAAAGCACUUUUGUUAGGGAGGAUGGGAGUUAUAGUUAAUACCUAUAGCUUUUGACGUUACCUAAAGAAUAAGCACCGGCUAACUCCGUGCCAGCAGCCGCGGUAAUACGGGGGGUGCAAGCGUUAAUCGGAAUUACUGGGCGUAAAGGGCGCGUAGGCGGUUACUUAAGUUAGAUGUGAAAGCCCAGGGCUCAACCUUGGAAUUGCAUUUAAUACUGGGUAACUAGAGUGUGGUAGAGAGUAGCGGAAUUUCUGGUGUAGCGGUGAAAUGCGUAGAUAUCAGAAGGAACAUCAAUGGCGAAGGCAGCUACUUGGGCCAACACUGACGCUGAGGCGCGAAAGCGUGGGGAGCAAACA